rnacentral:rRNA from 1 species
CAGUAGCCGCGGUAAUACGCAUGUCACAAGCGUUAUCCGGAUUUAUUGGGCGUAAAGCGCGUCUAGGUGGUUAUGUAAGUCUGAUGUGAAAAUGCAGGGCUCAACUCUGUAUUGCGUUGGAAACUGUGUAACUAGAGUACUGGAGAGGUAAGCGGAACUACAAGUGUAGAGGUGAAAUUCGUAGAUAUUUGUAGGAAUGCCGAUGGGGAAGCCAGCUUACUGGACAGAUACUGACGCUAAAGCGCGAAAGCGUGGGUAGCAAACAGGAUUAGAUACCCCUGUAGUCCCUGUCUCUUAUACA